UGGGGAAUAUUGCACAAUGGGGGAAACCCUGAUGCAGCGACGCCGCGUGAACGAAGAAGGUAUUCGUAUCGUAAAGUUCUGUCCUAUGGGAAGAUAAUGACAGUACCAUAGAAGAAAGCUCCGGCUAAAUACGUGCCAGCAGCCGCGGUAAUACGUAUGGAGCGAGCGUUGUCCGGAAUUAUUGGGCGUAAAGGGUACGCAGGCGGUUUAAUAAGUCGAAUGUUAAAGAUCGGGGUUCAACCCCGCAAAGCAUUGGAAACUGAUAAACUUGAGUAGUGGAGAGGAAAGUGGAAUUCCUAGUGUAGUGGUGAAAUACGUAGAUAUUAGGAGGAAUACCAGUAGCGAAGGCGACUUUCUGGACACAAACUGACGCUGAGGUACGAAAGCGUGGGGAGCAAACAGG
rnacentral:rRNA from 1 species